GAAUGCAGAUGGAACCUGAUCAUAGACUUCACAGUAGUCGCUGUGCUUCCUGGUUACAUGUUUGCACUUGUAACCAAAUAUGUCCACAAAUAUGUCACUGUCCCAAACUGUCCCUCCCUGUGCUUUAUUUUUGCAUAAUUUCCAUGGUUUUUAAAUCCAAGAAAUGGGAUUUAAAAAACAAAGGCAGGAGGGGAGGAUGGUAAGAUGUCAACAGAGCUAUUUACAUAAACCCAAGCUCCUAGGGAAGCCGCUGCUCUCCUUUGUGAGGGUCCAUGACACCUCCAACUCAAAUAGUAUGGAAACACAAAGAGUGUUUUAUUCUGUAGAAGUCCAGCAUGCUGAGAUCUCCCAUUACCGAGAUAGAGAGACACCCAAGUGAGCUUGCCGGCCUGAUUUAAAGCACAUUAGGAAAUUCUGGGGUAGGUGACCUCUCUGUUAAUCUGUUGGGUCCAUCGCUACAGACAUUCCAUUACUGGGGUGUAAGGGCUGGAAACUGUUGCUGGGGAAGUCUGGAAACUGCUGCUGACCCAUUGUCCUUGUCUCAGGCUGGGUGGCAGGGCUGCUUCUGCUGCCUGGACUUGCCAGGAGUUGCCCAGUUCUUGGAAACAGAGAUUUAGGCCUAGUCUCCUUAGCUGCUAAUUUGAAUCCUGUCAUGGAGUCAGCCUAGCCUUCUCACCUUCACACAUGAUAUGUGACUUUGUGUUCUUUUCUGAGUUCAUCAUGGUUGGUUUCCAGUCAGCUGAUUCAAAAUACUCAUGAAAAAAAUGGAAAAAAAUACUCAUGAAUCUUGAGAUUAUUGAUGUUUGACUGGCACAGUUACAAUGGGGAAACUUUGGCUGGGAGAUUCAGAGAUAGCAUUGCUGCCUUUCAAAGCACUACCUGCAUCCGCCAGAUACAAGAAGAAUGCCCAGUCAUUUCCACUUAUAUUUUGGAAACUCUGAAAGAAAUAUACAAGAAUCCAAACCUUAUUUUUUUUUCUUGAAAAAAAAAAAGGAAAUCAUGUGAAGACUCAAAUGAUCAGUGAAGUACAGCAUCAACAGGUGCUGAUCAGACUCGAAGAGACUUUGGGAGGAGGUUGCUAAGCACGAGUGAGGGUGGAAAGGAAAGAUGUUGGUAAGGGAAGGCAGGACCAGUGUCAAUAUUAAUUGGUAGUUUCAGUUUGGAAAGAUGCAAAAAUCCUGGAGACAGACUGUGGUGACAUUUACACAAUAGUGUGAACACACUUAAUGAUACUGAGAUGCACAUUCAAAUGCUCUUAAAGUGCUAAAUCUGAUGUUAUUCCCGUUAUAAUUUUUAAAUAAAAAUAUCACUGUGAAUAGA